rnacentral:rRNA from 1 species
UACGUAGGCAGCGAGCGCUGUUCGGAGUUACUGGGCGUAAAGCGUGCGUAGGCGGUCUUGUAAGUUUGGUGUGAAAUCUCCCGGCUCAACUGGGAAGGUGCGCCGAAAACUGCAAGGCUGGAGUAUGGGAGAGGUAGGCGGAAUUCCUGGUGUAGCGGUGAAAUGCGUAGAUAUCGAGAGGAACACCUGCGGCGAAGGCGGGUUGCUGGGCCGACACUGACGCUGAUGGCGCGAAAGCCAGGGGAGCGAACGGG